rnacentral:rRNA from 1 species
GACGAACGCUGGCGGCGUGCUUAACACAUGCAAGUCGAACGGAAAGGCCCCUUUGGGGGUACUCGAGUGGCGAACGGGUGAGUAACACGUGCGUAACCUGCCCUUGACUUCGGGAUAACUUCAGGAAACUGGGGCUAAUACCGGAUAGGAAUCCUUGCUGCAUGGUGGGGGUUGGAAAGCUUCGGCGGUUUUGGAUGGACUCGCGGCUGAUCAGCUUGUUGGUGGGGUAGUGGCUUACCAAGGCUUUGACGGGUAGCCGGCCUGAGAGGGCGACCGGCCACAUUGGGACUGAGAUACGGCCCAGACUCCUACGGGAGGCAGCAGUGGGGAAUAUUGCACAAUGGGCGGAAGCCUGAUGCAGCAACGCCGCGUGCGGGAUGACGGCCUUCGGGUUGUAAACCGCUUUCAGCAGGGGCGAAGCUUGUGGUGACGGUACCUGCAGAAGAAGCACCGGCUAACUACGUG